CACCAAUCAGCUGUUCCGCCAAUCAGCUGAUCCCCACGUGUGAAGUGAGCCAAGGCAGACACGCCCACCCCUGCCUCCUUUGCCGCCCCUGGGAGACAUUCCUACGCCCCUGGAAGCGAGUCCUGCCCCCUGUGACGAUUUAUAAGUCCUUUCUAGAUGCCCGAGUCAAUCAUGGGAACAUAAAUAACGGAAAAUAACAGAACUACAUGGAGAAAUGACGGGAGGAGUUACUGGCAUGGCGGCGGUGAGGUGGAUGUGCUGGGGCGGAGUUGAAGGUCUUGCUGCUGAAUCCUUUAUUAAGAAGACUAAAGGAGGAAUGCCAGGGGGAAGAAGAAGCCGGAGGAGAGGCAGGCUCCAGGCAGCAGGCCAACAAGGGCAGGGGCUGAGGAGGACCUGAAGGUGCUGCCUGUGUCUGCCGGGCCCAGGAGGACAGGCCGUGGUUGUUCAUCCUGCUGACCCAGUGGUGGCCGGCAGCAGAGAGGAUGAAGCUGGGAGGACGUUUGCUCCAGUGAAUCUGAUGUCCCAGACUUCUGGAGAUGCCGGUGAGCAUGUCACUUGGGGUGUUACAAGACUUCCUUUAGCAGCGUGACAAGCACAAAUCAACCCUGGGUCUUGGCUGCCACCCUCACCAGCCCCAGGACAGUGGUGAAGUUGGUGUGGUAAUAUGGUCCUGCAGGAUGUCUGCUCUCGGAGUUGUGGCAGCAGAAGUUGACUGAGCUGGCCACCAGAUGUCAUUCAGGUGAUGUGGGGUCCUGCAGGAUGCUGCAGUGCUUGGAGCCACAGCGAUGGGAGAUUAACUGUCCAUCAGUCAUCCCUCAGGUGGUCCUGCUAGAAGUCGCUGCCCUUGGAAUGACCAAGCCAGCUGUCGGUCAUCCUUCAGGAGCUGUUGUUCUGUCCUGUCUGGAGAGAAGAGAAGUUUGUAAUGUCUGAAGAAUGUUCCAUUGACUCGCUGCUGUUCACUGGCAAUGCAUGUACUGUACCGAGAACACUUACCCAUGAGAAGACUUUGAACAAUAAAUGCUCACAGCUUGUCUACGGAGACCUUGAGAAGUAAUUUGGAGAAUAUUUUUGAAGGCCUGGAAAUUCCUCCUGAUCAAUUACUUUCAAUCAAGUAUAAAACAAACAAAGUUGAAUAAGGAAGCAAUCUAUAUCAAAGAAACAUUAUAGACUAAUUUUGAAGGCCUGGAAAUUCCUCCUGAUCAAUUAAACUUACAAUCAAGUAUAAAACAAAGUUGAAUAAGGAAGCAAUCUAUAUCAAAGAAACAUUAUAGACUGCUUAAUCCAUUGGAGGUAUAAUUUUGAAGGCCUGAAAAUUCCACCUCACCAAUUUAACUUCCAAUCAAAGUACAAGAGUUAAAGUGGAAUAAGGAAGCGAUAUAUCAAAGAAAUAGUAAUAACUUCUUAAUCCAUUGAAAGUAAAAUAAAUUAUGGAGUUGAAGGAGAUCCAUUGGAAGUAAAGUAAAUUAUGGUUUAUAUAACAAAAGUAAGAAAAGUCACCUUGGUAACAACAUUAGGAAAAGCUUAGAACACACACAAAUGCAUUACUUUAUUACAUGUAUAAGAUUCUACCAUCGAUUCAUAAAAGAGUAAAAACAGACAUCUUAGUAAAAACAUAUCCUCUAACAACUUACAAUAAAACCUACUCCCAGUUCCUCGCCACUGACUAGAUUACUUAAACUACUGAGCUGCGAGGCGGAUGGGCGGGCAAGUGGACGACCUGAGACAUGACCCGAUACACAAAGUGACCUGCAGCUUAAGUGUACACAGGCAGCUCCUUUGACAGCACAGAGACUUGACUGACUUGCCUUGAAAUCUAAGUGGAAUGACUAACCCGUAGCCAAAGUGUACAAGCCGAUUCUUAAAUAGCAAUGUUAAUGAUCAAGUUGUGAGUAAGAGUAUAGCAUCGCAGGUCAAAAGAUGCUAGAAAUCACCCUCGUGAGGCACAAACAAAUAUCACAACCCCGAGACUGACUGACUUGCCUUGAAAUCUAAGUGGAAUGAUUGCUCUGUAGCCAUACAAACUAAUCCUUAUCCAGCAAAGGGGAAUGAUCAAGUCUAAGUACAGGUAUAGCCUUAGAGGACGAAACCACAGUUACUCGUACCCUUUGCCUAUCAGGGAGACAAAAGGGGAGGGGAGAAUACACUACAGGGAACUACAGUAUGUUUCGAGAUGCCUAGCAGAGGGAACUGAUGAGGUUACACCCCUUAA